rnacentral:rRNA from 1 species
CAGCCGCCACGGUAAUACGAAGGGGGCUAGCGUUGUUCGGAUUUACUGGGCGUAAAGCGCACGUAGGCGGAAAUUUAAGUCAGGGGUGAAAUCCCGAGGCUCAACCUCGGAACUGCCUUUGAUACUGGGUUUCUUGAGUCCGGAAGAGGUGAGUGGAACUGCGAGUGUAGAGGUGAGAUUCGUAGAUAUUCGCAAGAACACCAGUGGCGAAGGCGGCUCACUGGUCCGGAACUGACGCUGAGGUGCGAAAGCGUGGGGAGCAAACAGGAUUAGAUACCCCGGUAGUCCCUGUCUCUUAUAC